rnacentral:rRNA from 1 species
UCCAGAAUAGCUCUUGGAAACGGGUGGUAAUGCUGGAUGCUCCAACUUGACGCAUGUCUUGUUGGGAAAGUGUUUAGUGGCAUGGGAUGGGGUCGCGUCCUAUCAGCUUGUAGGCGGGGUAAUGGCCCACCUAGGCUUCGACGGGUAGCCGGCCUGAGAGGGCGGACGGCCACAUUGGGACUGAGAUACGGCCCAGACUCCUACGGGAGGCAGCAGAC